rnacentral:lncRNA from 1 species
AAAUAAAUAAGCAUAAAUAUGGGUUGUAUUUACGAUGGUGUUUGUUCUUCCUGGUUGACCUUUUCUUGUGGCAACAGGUCACACAUCUUGCUGCGGUGAUGGUACACUGGGAUUUCACCCAAUAGAUAGGGGAGUUUAUCAAAAUCGGGUUUGUUUUCGAAUUCUUUGAGGGUCUGUGUAAUCUGAUGGAAAUAUGUGUCUCUAAUAUGGUCAUACAUUUGGCAGGAGGUUAGAAAGUGCAGCUCAGUUUCCACCUCAUUUUGUGGGAAGUGUGCACAUAGCCGGUCUUCUCCAUCAGUGUUUUAUUCUAGGCUUCUACACUGCGAGAGAGCAGACACACCUCUCGAAAAUCGAAGGAGACUUGAUACGGCACUUCUGAUAUCUCGCCUGGAACUUCCUCUUUUAUAGCAGGUAGACUACUACUGUAGUAUUAACGCGCCUGUAUAUGUUGAACAGCUACUUAUUUGCCCCAGUAUCUGUGCUUUAGAGAUGUCGACGAUACACGUCAUACUCAUCGUCGACAUCUCUAACGCACAAAUACUGGCGCACUAGCAUACUUAUUAUUUGCUUAUGCUACCGUCUAUUUGUUCUUGCCGUUGGUCGGUGUCAGUAAAUGAAGGCCAAAGGGAAUUGUUGAAUCGUUCGUAUUAAAUAGCUUCUGCAUUUCGCUGAGCCAGCGUUUAUUUGGGAUAAGCAGAGAGGGGACACCUGUGGCUUUGUGAUAGAGAAGUAGGUUGCAGAUCUGCAGACAGCAUUUCGCAGAGGCAGACAUCGCGAUGAAGGACAUUUCGAGGGUUAUGGUGUACGGGUUUCCGACCGACCAUCAUCAAAAGCGACUGAACGAAGGAGGCCACGCGAGUCAAUGCAAUGGAGCUCCAGAGGUAACGUUAACCGGUCAUGACUGUUGACUAGGCUAGCGUUAGACACUGGACAACUUUGUUGCAACUCUAGUUGAAGGUAACUAGCUAAUUGCAUCUGAAGUGUUUUGUGUAACCCCCCCCCCAGCAAAUAAGGUUAGCAAGCAACUCAAUUGUAACUAAAAUUGCAACACAGUUUAUCCGUGUACCCCUGUUAUUAGGUAACGUUAGUUACUGUAGCUAGCUCCCACCUCAGAUAGUCAAGUACUGUAAUACAUUUUGUUGACAGAUUUGUUUUUGUAAUGUUUUGUUAACUCCACCUCAUUUAGCUAGACUGAAGUUGACAUAACUAAUGUUUGCUGAUAAAGACAUGUCCCUGUAUUUGCUGUGUGUGUGUGUGUGUGUGUGUGUUGAUAAAGCAUACAACAGGUAGCUUGUUAAUGCCAACUGAUAUAUGUGGGUUCAGUUGUCUUAACAAAACGUUUGCUUGUUUUCAGGAUGACAUCUUCAUCCCUGAAAAUGUUUUCAUCCUGCAGGAGGCAGGGGGUACAUGCAAAUCCAUGUUAUUUCUAAAGCUAUUGUUUAUUUCAAGUAUAUGCAGUGAUUUGAAUAUAACUAUAGCCUAAUAGAUGCAUUAAUUGUUUUCUACCAACAGGAAAGAACGGUUAGUACAGCAUGCCAAACUGACCCCUGGGUGGCAGAGUGUUCCUGUGCUGCGGUGGAGAAGAGGUCCACCGGGACCAUCACCAAAGAGCUCAGGGCCCAGCUAGAUUGCGCUCACGACCAUCAGUAUACAAUCGAGUCCUGCCCCUAUUUGCCACAGAUGGAGCUGAUGGAGAGUGAGAUCAGUGAAGACCAUAACUCGCUGAGAGCUCAGAAUCACACUCAUCACAGUGCGAGCCAAAAUAUACUAUCGAUCACUUUGGGGGAGCGGGAUGGUGUUCCGAAAAUGGAGAAGGAGCAGGCCAUUCAACAGCCAAUUCAAAGAUACACCCAUCCAUAAAGGGAAUUGGAGUGGAAUUAUUUUUUCAAAUAUGUUUUUUUACCCGUUUCAAUGGACGUGCUUCCUUGUCCUGGUUCUGCUGUUUCGACACUCUCUCAACCUAUUAUUGCUCAGCUAUGAAAAGCCAACUGACAUUUGCUCCUGAGGUGUUGAACUGUUGCACCCUCUAUAACCACUGUGGUUAUUAUUUUGAUGUAAAAAGGGCUUUUGUCAAUAUAUAUUUGAUUGAUUGAUUGUUUGCUGUGCUGGAUGCUGUGUAUUCACUAACUGUCUGAGUGAUGGAACAUUUUUGUAGUAUCUGUAACAUAUUUUGGUGUGUAUUUAAUGCAUCUUAACUUCUUUCCUUCAAAUAAUUUUAGAUGAUUUAUUGACUGGCUAUGGCUUUCCAGAUCACCCAACACUGCUAUUUGUAAGGUUAAUUUUAAGUGCAUGUUGUGAUUUUUUUUUUUACCAUUCCUGAACCUGUGACCAGAAACAAGCUACGUAGGGGCAAUACCAGAAUAAGUGAUCUACUGAUUCAGUCUCUUAGCUGCUCCCAUUACCUCACUGCUGAAGGGGGGUCCUGUAGUCUGCAGUGGUCGGUUGAGGCAGACAGGACUUUUGGGCAACUAAGAGUUUACCUCGGCUCCCGUGCUGGCCCAUCCGGAUCCCUCUUUGGCAUUCAUAGUGGAGGUGGACGCGUCCGAGGCUGGGAUUGGAGCUGUGCUCUCUCAGCGCUCGGGCACGCCACCAAAGCUCCGCCUCUGUGCUUUCUUCUCGAAGAAGCUCAGCCCGGCGGAGCGGAACUAUGAUGUGGGGGACCGGGGGCUGUUGGCUGUGGUUAAGGCUUUGAAGGCGUGGAGACAUUGGCUUGAGGGGGCUAAACACCCUUUCCUCAUCUGGACUGACCACCGCAACCUGGAGUACAUCCGUGCAGCUAGGAGACUGAAUCCUCGUCAGGCAAGGUGGGCCAUGUUCUUUACCCGUUUUGUGUUUACCCUGUCCUACAUACCAGGUUCCCAGAAUGUGAAGGCAGACGCACUGUCCCGGCUGUAUGACACAGAGGAGUGGCCCAUGGAUCAGACUCCCAUUCUCCCGGCCUCCUGCCUGGUAGCGCCGGUCGUGUGGGAGCUGGACGCGGACAUUGAGCAGGCGUUGCGUACAGAGACCGCUCCACCCCAGUGUCCCGUUGGGCGUCAAUACAUUCCGUCUGCUGUCCGUGACCAGUUGAUCUAUUGGGCCCACACAUCACCCUCCUCUGGUCAUCCGGGGAUCGGUCGGACGGUGCGCUGUCUGACUGGGAAGUACUGGUGGCCCACCUUGGCUCGGGACGUGAGGGUUUAUGUUUCCUCCUGCUCGGUGUGCGCCCAGUGUAAGGCUCCUAGACACCUGCCCAGAGGGAAGCUACAUCCCUUACCCGUUCCACAACGGCCUUGGUCACACCUGUCGGUGGAUUUUCUAACGGAUCUUCCUCCCUCACAGGGAAACACCACGAUCCUGGCCAUUGUGAAUUGUUUCUCUAAGUCCUGUUGUCUCCUCCCUCUGCCCGGUCUCCCUACGGCCCUACAAACUGCGGAGGUCCUGUUUACACACGUCCUCCGGCACUACGGGGUGCCUAAGGAUAUAGUGUCUGAUCGAGGUCCCCAGUUCACUUCGAGUCUGGAGGGCGUUCAUGGAACGUUUGGGGGUCUCGACCUGCCGGAAGCUGGGCCCACGGUUUGUCGGGCCAUUCAAAGUCCUGAGGAGAGUGAACAAGGUAUGUUACAGGUUACAGCUUCCCCCCGAUUACCAUAUUAACCCCUCGUUCCAUGUCUCUUCUCAGGCCGGUGGUGGCUGGUCCGCUCCAGGAGUCUAAGGUACGGGAGGUUCCUCCGCCCACUCUGGACAUCGAGGGGGCCCCGGCGUACUCCGUCCGUUCCAUCCUGGAUUCGAGGCGUCGGGCCUUCAGUACCUCAUGGAGUGGGAGGGGUACAGUCCGGAGGAGAGGUGCUGGGUUCCAGUGGCUGAUGUAUUGGACCCUGAACUGCUGCGUGAGUUCCACCGUCGCCGGCCGGAUCGCCCUGCACCUCGCCCUCCGGGUCGUCCCCGAGGCCGGUGUCGACGCACCGCUGGAGCCGCGCGUCGGGGGGGGAGUACUGUCACGACUUCCGCCGAAGUCGUCGACUCCUUGUUUGGGCGGCGGUCGACGUCACCGACUUUCUAGCUAUCGCCGCUCCAUUUUUCAUGUAUCCAUUUGUUUUUUCUUGUUCCCUGCACACCUGGUUUUCAUUCCCCAAUCAAUCUACAUGUAUUUAUUCCUCUGUUCCCCAUCAUGUCUUUGUGAAAGAUUGUUUGUGUUACAUGUUUAUUGUUGACGUGCUAGACUGGUUUGUUUUUUUCUGUGGUAUUUUUCACGAAGAUGUUUAUUGUUAAACAUAAUUCUUGUGACUGUUUUGCGCAUUUUGCCCUUUUGCCUCAGUGUGCGCCUGUUCACAAAUCUCUGCUCUCCUGCACCUGACCUCGUUACCAGUACACACACACCUGACAACCAUCCGCCCAUUUUAUUGGUAAACUACAAGGUACUGUAUACAGUGUAUUUUUUUACGAUCCAAUACGUAAUAUGGUACACUUGUCAUAAUUAGGGUUUAAUCCAGAUUGGCUAGAAAAGUGAUCAAGAUCUUCAAUGAGAUUGUGCAGGGAUCCAGAUUGCGGACUUAAGAAAAAAAUAGUCAUCAGCAUACAUUGACACUUUUGUUUAUAUCCCCUGGAUUUCUAACCCCUUGAUGUUCUUGUUGGAUCUAAUGUUAAUAGCUAGCAUUUCAAUGGCAAUAAUAAAUAAAUAUGGAGACAACAGACAGCCUUGCUUUACUCCUCUUAAAAGCUCAUUACUUUCUGAGAAGUAACCAUUGGUUACUAUUUUACAUCUGGGGUUGCUAUACAUAACUUUAACCCAUUGUAUAAGAGAUUCACCAAAAUUAAAGUAUUCCAGGCAUUUAUAUACAAAUUCUAAUUGUACUUUAUCAAACGUCUUUUCAAAAUCUGCUAUGAAGACCAAACCUGGUAUCUUCAAUGUUUCAUAAUGUUCAAUUGUUUCAAGUAAUUGUCAUAUUAUCUCCAAUAUAUCGUCCAUGUAAAAAAACUUUAUUCUAUAUGCUAUGCAUUUCACAUCAUAAAAUUGAAGUGUUAGAGGCUUCCAGUUUUUUAAACGGACUGGAUCUUUAUACUUACAAUCUGGGUCCUGUUUUAGUAGUAAUGAAAUCAGACCUUGUUGAGUACCUGAAAGUCUACCAUUAACUUCUUAAAGUGUCAAUCAGCAGUAGAAACAAUAACAAAGUGUCACCAAUGCUCCUCUUUUGGUAAAAAGCUGAGGGAUGGGGCUGGAAAAAUAUAACCACUCAAAUUCAUAGACAGCGCUAUAGAUGCAAGGAAUGGCCAUCCAUGAUAUCAGCAUUGUAAUCCUGUUUCUAUUAUCUUUUUCCACUACCAUGUACCCAGUUCGCUUUGGAUGAAAGUGUCUGCUAAAUGGCAAAUAUUAUUAAAGUCUACUUUGACUCUGCAACUAGCUGCCCAGUGUAGUUACCAUUCCUUUCCAAUAGAUGGCAGCCAAAGCUAGUUGAAGUCAUUACUCUAGUGACAGAGACACGGGAUUAGAAGGCACUGAAAGUAGUUUUAUCUUCAAAUGAAGUUUAUUUGGUUACGCUUGAACCUGUUGUUAUAGUGGACAAGUUAACCAAUACUAUUUUACAUAAGGCGCAGACAUUAGAUCUGGGUCUUAGGCUAGGCUAGAUUUACUCAAUGAACUGGUUUUAUUUAACAUUUUAUUCAAUGCCUUUGCUUCUGGCUAUGUGUGCAUUAUGGAAGAAAUGACACACGCAGGAAUGAGACGCCUUACACCUUGUCCAAUUCUCUCUUGUGCCCAUAGGGUGAACUGGCGAUAAACUGCCAGCCUGUAUGCUCUGCAAACAAAAUCAUAAGAAAAGUUAGUCUGAUACCGAAACAAUAUCACAAUGUAUUGUGGUGUACAGCAGGUGAGCCACCAGGGGGAGACUCGUCGAGGCCUGGUGGCAGACGGUGAUUACAUCACGAGGCGAUGGCGCCCUCUGCAGGACGUGCCAGGUCUUGACGGGCUCUCUGGCCAGGACUAAUUGGGGCUGAUUGUGGUUGGUGGGUAAUCAAGGGCUGAUUUGCUCACCAGCUAGCUGUACGAGUCCCAUAAAGUUGCCAGAAGGGCAGCACACAAGGAGAGGUACUGGGGAAGAAGGGUGACUUCCGUAUAGUUGGAGACGUUGCCCGAGCUAAAAGGAGGGAGUUCAGUUUUUGUGCCCGACAGGAUACAGCAAGACCCGGAGCCCAGAAGACGGUAUCCCGGAGAGGGUCUCAUGGGGGAGACCUAUCAUUUUCUUUAGAUGUAUUAUUUAAAUAAACACCCUUGAAACUGAGAUAAUCCUACUGAUCUGUGUCUGAUCUGUGUAAACGUCUUGACCAAACCCUCUGGUCUGCCACAGUAUUUAUAAUGAGCACGCCCCAUUGCUGGUUAGAACGAGAUUUCAUGAAUCAUGACGCUGUCUGCGAUUGGAACUCUGGUCGUCUAAUCUAAAGGUAAAUGUGUUACCAAUGCACCAAACAGCGCUGAUGAUAAACGUCGUUAUAGGAUACUGAUUAUAUAUAUUGACCACCGACACGUCCAAUAAAUACAUUGCCAUCCAGACAGGCUGACAGGAACCUCUGACAGUAUGUAAUACAGCCACCAUCCGCUGGGAUUUUGUGCUGUAUCGCCACCACCUCUCUAUAACACACACACACUUCUACUCUAGCAAUUACCUGGCAUCAUCCCCACAAACACCACUUUGUGUUUGGCUACGCCGACUCUCUGGCUGAGGUGUUUCAGGCGGCAUAUCUGUGUUGUUACUGCUACGAGAACGAACUCUUGAUCUGGUGCAACGAUCGGCUCAAACAUGACCAGCUUCAGUAGAUUUAUUGGCUCCCUAAUUAACAUUUUUCAUUCUCAGACUUGAAGCUACUCGGUAAAUUAAGCUAUUUUUGGGAGUUCCAAAAUGUUCUCUCCUGCUAGUGACGCAACAAUGCCAAUAUGGCGAUUUACAGUUACAGUUAGCUGACGUUCAAAAUCAUAGGGUUUCCAUUCCCCUUUAAGCCUGUGUGCGCUGUACUGUGUUCGUGCCAGGGCCCGGACUUGAACCCGAUCGAAAAUCUCUUGAGAGACCUGAAAAUUGUGUAGCGAUGCUCCCCAUCCAACCUGACAGAGCUUGAGAGGAUUUGCAGAGAAAAAUGGCGGAAACUCCCCAAAUACAGGUGUACCAAGCUCAUACCCAAGACUCAAGCGUCAUACCCAAGAAGACUCAAAUGGCUCUGGCUUGCUGAUGUCAUCUGAUCUGAUGAGACUCCCUAUGUGAUUUGACUCCUGUAUUACUGACUGUAUUCAACGACAAAAAAACAUCCAAUGCCGAAUAUAGAUCAUUUGGGAUUCUGUAAUUGAUAGACGAUGGUGUCAAAUCCAAUUCAAAAGCAUGAGAUGGCACGCACGAGCAAGAUGCGCGACCAAACACUGAGUUAAGAGAGAAGAAAUGUGGUCCAGCGAGAAGAGGAUGGGUCCCCUGCACAGGUCAGGGAGAAUUCAGAGGACAGUGCUAAGUAUGGGAGGUGAGCAAGCGCCUGAAUGCUCAGCUGAAAGAGUCUGAGAAGAGACACCAGGAGGAGAAGGACUGAAUGCAGACUGAAAGCGGUGAGUUCAGCCGGCGUCUUGACAAGCAGUCGAAGCACCUGCAGCGAGUGGAGGGGUAGGCGGAGGAGCAAGGUCAGAGGCUGGAGGAGUUUAAGCGGCUGCUGGGGGGCAUGGAGCUGGAGGGUGUUGUCCUGAAAAAUGGCCGCCAGCGAGGCUGAACUGCUGCAGCUGAGAGCAGCCGGCGGUGGGGGGGGG